UCUAGAAUCAAAGGCUAAUCU
rnacentral:miRNA from 1 species